ACCUGGCUAGCUCAGUUGGUAGAGCAUACAGCUCUUAAUCUCAAGGUUGUGAGUUCAAGCCCCAUGUUGGGUG
rnacentral:tRNA from 1 species